AUAAUACAAUGCUUUCUAUAAAAUGAGUGAACGGCACUCCCAUCACGCGAAUAAAGCACCCCACAUGGUGAGCAUAUUACAUGCAUCGUCAGUCAGGCUGAUAGCAACUCUUAAGAAAAAAUGAACAAAGUCUACUAUUUUGCUGUCUUAGUAUCAUAUAGGAGGCCAUAAAAAAUGAAUAAUUGUCAAACUAAGCCAGGUUCUUUUCCAUAACGUUAGCACUCAAUAGAGUCACAUGCGAACCUGCUAUUUGGCAAAAUCACUGUUCAUUUUUUAGCCUUUUGUUUUGUUCAGUUGAAUUCAUUCGAAAUCAUGGCAUGAUUGUCUAAUUUCAACUAGAACGUGUUGUUAGGAUCUAACACACGGCUUAAUAAUAUUUCAAGGUCUAUCAAAGUAAGAGUAAAUUGCUGUUUAGCAGUCAUGUUGAGAAGCAGAAACUAUUUCGUAUCCAGCAUCUAAGAAUCUCAAGGCAUCUACAGAUAUACCUUGGAAGUAACACAAGGCCUUAGUGCUAGAAAAUCGUCUAAGGCAACUGAAUGCACCCACAAAAUAUAUAUAAACAUAUAUGCACGUGUACAAUCUCUGUACCACAUGAGCAUCUAAUGGCGCCGGAUAAUUUGCGCCGAUGGUGUCUAUCCAGCUAAAAAGCAUGUUGUGAUAACCAUAUGGUUUCCCAUUCAUAAUCUGUGCAAACUCCCAUGCAGCAGCUCAUUAAAUUUGGCUCACAUAUCAGGAUGCAGUGGAAGCAACGCAAUGUGGGGAUUUGAGUAAUCUUUGUUAAGCUUGAACUCCCACCAUUUUCCCAUGGUAACACAGCAAUGACAUCUUCUCCCUGCAAUGAUAAGAACAAAACAAAACUUGCAUAAUCUCUAUUACUAUGUUAGACUUCUGUAGCACCUGACCCCUUUACCAACACAAAGGAACAAAGCAUGUAGCAAAAACCCAAAUGUGACCAUAAAUUAAUCAAGGUCUGCCUCAAGUAAAGGACGUCAUUUCAUCAAAUUCUAACCAUAAUCAUCAUCAGUAAGUUAUCGUCUCGUGUGUAAGGAUGGUCCUGAAGUUCAGUAGAAAAAGUUCAGACACUGCAUUCCCUAUGUUACAAAUAUGAUGAUGCUCCAAUAGAGCUUCUAGUAGAAGCCUAAAUAGGAUCAGCUGCAGUUCAACAUGAACCUGAAGCAGCAUGUCAUCGUUUACUUACUCAUCCUCUCUUACAAUCAAAAGUUUCUAUGGGAGCACAAAAAGGAAAGACCUAUCUUAUUAGAGAACAUAAGAUGAGCAAGGAGAUUUAAGGACAUAGGGGCGUGACUAAAGCACGCUUAAUAUGCAAAAUGGAACAAUCUCAAUGGGAACCAUAUUUGUGAGAGAAGAAGUCCAUGAUUCGACAAAAGUCACAUUUAUAAAGUAAUCACACAGAAAUACAAUGCCCCAAAAACCUAAGGGUUCAUGAAAUGUUAGAGAAACACAGCAGAAACCCUACUUGUCCUUUUCAAUAUGUAUGAGACCACACUUUGAUAAUCAGAGGACAUUAAAGCAGUAUUGUAUGAGAGUCUUUAAUGAUGAAUGACAGAUAAGCAUAGUGAAUUUUUUUUUCUUUUUUUUGGUCGGUAAGCACAGGGAAUUAAAGAGAUGGAGAAAUAAUGACUCAAACAAUUCUGGGGGUGUUUGAAACAUUUGAACGUUUGUCUGUUGGAUAUCCCCAUAUAGGAACAAGGUGGACAGUUAUUGUGGAAGACUGGCAUACUUACAGCCAUGUUAAUAUUGUGUCUAUGCAAUUGGUUUAAAACUUUACUUCACAAUUACAAUUGCAGAGACAGCAGCAGGCAAAAAGAUUGGAUGAAAUGUCGAACAUCAAAAGUAAUCCGUCAAUGUAUGGAAAAAAAAGAACAAGGAAUAGAAAAAAAUGCUUAAAAACAAUCGCAAGGUAAUCCUUUUCCUCAAAAGGCUUUUUCUCCACUAGUAUAUAUAAAAAUUAGGCCUUCAAACUGAAAAAGAAAUACACUUACAUGCAUAACCACCCUAUAUCUGUUUCCGAAUUACCUGUUCAUUAUCAUGUCCGGAUUCACCAACCCAAAGCUUUCCUUCAGCAUCCCUUAAGCACACAGCUGUGUGACCAGCGUAUGCGCCACUGACCCAUUUCUCUAGAGUCCCAAAACCACCCCCACUUUCCACGAAUUUUUGAAAUUGCAAUGAAGUCUCCAGAGUGGAUAUCAUCAAUGCUGAUGUUUGUAACCAAGGGCUGGGGACGUUGCUCAAAUGAAGCUCCCAUAUGCUUCUUGAGAAAACCAAUGUUAGAUUUCUCCCCUCACCCGGUAUUUGAAAACAAGGAAACACAUCCCACAGUGCUUGAAGGGUCCCUAGCAUCCCAGCUUGCAUCAGAAAGAUUGACACUCCUCUACUUUUCACCUGCAAUCAAAAUAAUGGAAAAUCAAAGUUUGACAACUCGCCAAUAUGCACAAGCAAGAGCAGAAGAGAAAAAAGAUAAUUGCAGCUUACAUAUUCAAACUCAGCUUUUCCUUCCCACUCUUUGAACUCAAAUGUGUGCUCACGAGAUAAAAGAUACUAGUCCCAUGUCACGCAGUAUGGGGUUGCAAAGACAUAAAUAUCCAUACAUGUCCAGCUAUGGGCUUUGCUGACCUGGAUGAGCAAUCCAAACUCAUGGUUACAAGCCGGAUACCUACAACUAGCUGUUAGUUUCCAUAUUCAGCAGAACUAGAUGCAAAAACAAGGACUAUGAAACAUCAACACGAGGCAGUACCCACCCAAACUGGAAUAGCCUCCAUAAGAUAAUUUGAUUUUACAUCAAACGAAACAAUUGUACUUGUAUGAGCAACCAAAUCACUAAAUCCUUCUUCAACCACUUAAAACCUAGACACAAAAGACUCAAGUGACCAACCAUGGUACCAAUUCGUGGAGCUUAAUCAAAGCACAAACAAGCAGAUGAAAGGAGAAGGAAAGAAAAAAACUUAGCUAGUGACGAAAUCCACUAGAAACAUAUUGAGGUAAGAACUGAAAAAUUCCAUCACUCAGAUUCCAACAUAAAUAACCAGAAUGAGAAAAGAGGAACAGUUGGGAUCAAGUGCAUGGCCCAAACAUCGAGGAUAUUCUCUAACGUCCUUUAAAUAAGUGAUUUUCUUUCACAACUCUAUAGAUAAGUAUGACCGCACACUUCAGUUGGUAAGAAAAAUACCGUAAGUAGAUAGAAACUCUAUCCAGUUCAGAGCUUUGAAUCCAUUAGAAAAAAUCGACCUCAAAUUAACUAAAAUAGAAAGCUCAAACUAAGUUAAUCGGAAAUUGGGAAAAGCUGCCAAACGAUGGCCAUUAGACCCCAUCAAACAAACUCCUACAGCCUCACAUCUCCUAGAAUUAUCACACAAUCGAACUGCAGUGAAUUGAAUUAAGCACUAACAUUCGACCAGAGAACCUUAAAAGCUCGUGAACAGUGACUGUCUCUCCACAUUACCAAGCCGCCACAAGCUCAAACAUCCCAAAAUCUUCCAGAAUCGCACUCAAACACAAGUAUUUCCAUUCCAUUCCGUUCCCCACUAUUCACCAAACAAAAAAGAAGACUUGGAAUCAUCACUCCAGUCCAUUCCUUUCCCCAUCAUUUCCCGAUUUCAUUCCAUUCCACCGUACCAAACCCGACGUAAUAGUCAACCAGAAAACCUCAUCUUCCAAAAUGGCACUCAAAACCAAAAGGAGACCAAGCAAAAGCGACGCGAUAAAACUAAAGAACGGACCUUGAUGUGAGGCGUGCCUCCGCCGAACUUGCUCCCGGUGUUGUUGUGGAACUCCCACCAAGCGGUCGGAGGAAAAAACGGCGCCGAGGAAGGCGGGCAACAGGUGCAGGGGACGGCGAAGGGCGUUGAGGAUGGGCCAGGACAGCUGCUUCGGCAAUAGAGGGAGUAUGUUCUCCAUGGUGGAACGGUGGUUUCGCGGCUCGAGAGCGCGGGUUGAGCAGAGAGGAGAACGUGAAGAGGAAGAGAAGUAGCAGAAAUUGGCUGACGAGAAGCCAUGGAAACUGGGGGGGGAGAGAGAGAGUCAUCUCUCCAGCGACGGUCCACUUCUUUAAGUGUCUCACACUGUAAAAGGUGUAGGGGCAAGAGGAGCCACUCGUUUUGAUUAUAUCCUUGGACGCUUGGUAAUUUAGGGUGCUUAACCAGUUAAAUGAAACAUUAAAGCAUCAUUGGGGCUGAAAAUAUUAUGUAUUCUUAUAUUAUGUAUUAAUGUUGGCAAAAAUCUUAAAUUAUAUCCAUCCUGACAUUAAUGUCUCGAAUUAGUAUUGAUUUCGUGGCAAACAAAAGUUUAAGAUUUUUAGAGACGAGAGGUAUUUCCACUUCAAAUAUAAGUUUAAGUGUAGAGAUGAGCAAUUAGAAGUCUCCACAAAAGAUGUAACCCUAUGGGAAGAUAUAUUGCCUUCCCACUCUCUUAUAGCUUGCCGUUAAACUGCGGCCAUUGAUAGCGUCAAAUCGGCUUAUAUUGCCUACCCCCACCCUCUUAUAUUGUUGCAACAACUUUAGCUACACCACCUUUUCAGGACUUGGUUAACAUCAAGAGUAUUCUAUAAAUGGUGUAUAUUUUCAUUUUGUAUGAAGCUAUAUGCAUGUUGUUAGUACGAAUUUGACGUUUAGCACGUUUUCACAGUAAUCAUGCAAUCUCCCUUAUUGUUAUAUUGUGUCUUGAGUUUGAGUAGAGGUGUCAAAAUGAGUUAUUGACCCAUUUAUGGACUCAUUUAAACAUAAAUGGGUUGUUAAUGGGUCAAGCCUAUUUCCUAAAGUACCCAUAAUGAGUUUUAAUGGGUUAAGACUGAGAUAUAUGAAUCUUAAAUGGGUCAAAGAACUUGCCCAUUUAAGACCCAUUUAUCAACCCACUAAAAAUAAACUCAUUUAUUUUAAGCCAAAACCUCACAAUCUCUCUCUUCUCUCUUUAACUUUACAAAAUAUUUAAAAAAAAAACCAAAAUUAUAAUUAUUUUUUUAUUUUUCUUUUCUUUUCUUUUCUUUUUUUCUUUUUUCUGUUUUCUUUCUUCUUCCUCUGGUCGUCGGCACUGCGAUGGCCGGCGACCGGCCAGGUGAGCCUUGGGCUCGCUAGAUCUGGCGAGGCGGAGGCCUCGCCGACGUCCAGCGAGACUCGAGCCUCACUAGAUCAGGUGAGGGGGCGAGCUUGAGGCUCGCCGGCGUCCGGCGAGGGGCGAGCUCAAGCUGGCUUGAUGUUGGCGAGCCUCGAGCUCGUCGGAUCUGGCGAGGCGGAGGCCUCAUCGACGUCUGACGAGGCUCGGGCCUCACCAAUCUGGCAAGACUUGGGCUCACCAGCGUCGGGCGAGCUCGAGCUCCCUGGAUUUGGCGAGCCUCAAGCUCGUCAAUGUUGGCAAGUUGGGCGAGCUCCAGGUCGCCUGUGGCUUGCCGCUGACCAUCAUUGUGGCCAGCAGCCGACCAAAGAAGAAGAAGAACAAAAAAGAAAAAAGAAAAUUAUAUUUAAAAAUAAAAAUAAAAAUAAUUAAAAAAUUAAUUUAAAAAAAAAAUUAAUAUUCGAUUUUUUAAAAUAUAUAUUUUUAAAAUUAUAAAAAAUGUCCAUUAAAUUUGCGUUGUAUAAAACCAUUUUAGCAAUACCAUUUUAUAUAUAUAAUAAGUUUUCUUAAAUUUAAUUAAAUGGGUCGGGUAUGGAUCGAAAAUUUUGUAUUGCAAUAAACGGGUUAAAUGGAUCGAUUUAGGUCGGAUCAUUUAUGACCUGAUCCAAACCCGACCCGAUCCACCCGUUUAACAGGUAUAAGUUUGAGCCCAUGUAUGGGCCCACAACUGAAGAAUCUAUUGCUCAAAGUCACGCACAAAAUGCAGUGUUCUUUUAUUAAUUAAUGCGCACGCAAGUCUUGGACUUUUUUCUCCACUUCAUUAAUGCAAUGCAUGCACGAAUCUCCUCCUGUGUCCCUUUAUCAUUUUUCUCAUUUUUGGUUCGAAUUCCCUUUUGUCAUUGAAGGAGCUGAACGUCCAUUUGUCGCCUUCACUCCAGAGCGCCCCCUCUUUCGGACUCCCCCUGGACCAGCGAAAUGGGAAAAUUCGGCGCCAAAGUCAACGUUGGAAACGCCGGCGACGGCGACGUUCUUGAGGCCUAGCCUCAAGAUUCGAGUGGAAUUGAGAGGGUGCUUCCAUUCCAGACAGCGGUGGAGAGCCGUGACGCUCACGGAGUGAUCGAGACCCAGAGAUUGGAUCCAAGCGCAGAGGCACGCGAGUCUUUUUCGCCAUUUUCAUGGAAUAGGGGUGGACGUUGGUGAUCUGGUUGGGGAAAGGAUGGAGCGUGAGGAGGAUGGUCAGGGACGCAUAUAGGAACGGACUCGACUUAGGGUUCAGGAACGGGUUUACAAAUCGGAUUGAGGUUGCGAAAUGGACCUACAUCUUUCUAGGAUGGAGAAGUUUUUUUCAGAAAUUGUCAGACGAUUUCAGGAAUUUGAAAGAAAUGAGGAGGGGCUAGAGCACAGGGGGAAUUUUAAUUUAUUUUGGCCAAACGUUCGAGCAAUAGUUUCGAAUCACUAAGGAGUAUAUAUAAAUUUCAGUACGGUGACCUCUUUGGUUCAGAUUGGAAAAGUAGUGUGCGGUGGCCAAUGGAUAAUGAUCUCGCUGCCCUCUAGCGAUAUGCAAGGGCCUGGCAGUGCAAUAUUGUGGGCUUAGUAGGGCUUAUUUGCUGGAUAUGCAUCGAUUUCUGCCAAAUAUAUGGCAACAACCGAGUGGCAGAGGUUGUUCUCAUGGGGACCACCAGGGCCAUGGUCGCCGUCCCCUGGGAUGAUUAAUUUAAACAAUUUGUUGAAUUGCUUAAUUCGACAAUUUCGUAUUCGAUAGUGUUGACUCCGUAACUUGCUUUCUCUGAUGAUAAAUGACCAAUAUCAUGCGUUUAGACCACAGUAAGCAUCGGCUCAGAGUCAGCGGUAACAAGUCAAUGAUUGACGCCCUUGAAAGACUUCUAUCCUUCCAAAGUCUAUUUUGACUUAGGCAAUUCCAUUUGUUUCUUCACAUACAUGUUCAAAUUUUUGAGUCAGACUUUCUCAUGUGCUGAUGACUUAAUUACUGCAUGGUUAUAUUAUUAAACUAAAUAAUUUGAUAGAUUAUGAUUGAUCUUAUUAAGCCAACCGCAUUUGAUAUUUUCACGUUAUUUGGCAUACAAAAUGUCGAUAUAAAUAGUGUAAUUCCGGGGGCCGAAGUUGUAAUUGGCUCAAAGGCGAACACGUCUUCAUGAGUAACACCGUCAAACUCCUUUUGAGAUUCUUGGAAUGUCUCCUACUUAGAUAACUCGAUCAGUUUCCUCUUUUUUCUAAUAGUAUAAUUUCCCUUUAUUAAUUUCCUCUAUUUAGAUCUAGUGUAUUUCUCUACUAGUACUUCAGCUCCAGGUGAAAUAAGGGGAUUAAAUUUAUCUGGUCGAUUAACUAUCAACAUCAAUUAAGAUUUAAUUUCUUUCUAUCUCUUUUCGUAAAUAUUUAUACACGAAAUUCUUAUUGUGUAUUUUUAUCAAUAAAUUAUUUUCAUUAUUUAAUAAUUCAUAUAUUUUACCCAAAAAAAUGAUUUAAAUUAAUUUUUUAAAUACCAAUUGUUCCCACACNNNNNNNNNNNNNNNNNNNNNNNNNNNNNNNNNNNNNNNNNNNNNNNNNNNNNNNNNNNNNNNNNNNNNNNNNNNNNNNNNNNNNNNNNNNNNNNNNNNNUUCUCUAGAAUAAAUAAGUUUCUUAAGAAGGUAUUUCACAAUUUCCAAGUUGUCUUUGAAUUAAUCGAGUCUUUCUUAAAUAUCAAUCUACAUAUUGGCUUUCUAAUUGUUGAAUGGGUUUAGUACCCAUGGAUAAUAAGUAAUGCUACAAAGACCUUAGAAGACAAAAAGGAUUUUCACCCUAUAUGAUGUCAUGUGUUCUCAUUGCCCUAAGAACAUAUGUUAGCUUGUCAUACUAUCUAAUGGGCUAGGAUGCAAAAGUCACAAUAUAGCCGUAUGUAGUAUGGCCAUUAAAAAUGCAGAAUAAACAUGGUUUCUUUUUAUUAUUAUUAUUUUUUUUACGAAUAAAGUGAUUCAUUUAUUCAAAACCAUAUUGGAAAUAUAUGACAUGAAUGAUAUAAAAUGUAACAGAAAAAGAAAUUUCUUGAAAUUUUGCAAAGUCGGAGGUGCCGCUCAAAUCGAGAAGUGCGGGUGGUCCCAGCAAAGUGACGUUAAUGUACAAGAAACAAAAGGUAGGAAAAGUAAUAAGAGCAACGUGCAGAAACGACGACGGCUUGGCGUGGAACGAGCAUGGCUUUAAGCAAACACAGAAACAGCACAUCUCGCGAUAUUUUGAUGUCGCGUAUUCUUCCUCUUCUUCUUCUUUUUCUAAACUGAUAAGGCUGCUCCGGAGCCUCUCUUCAUUUUCGUUUUUUUGUUUGUUUUUUCCUCCUCAUUUUUCCAACCACAUCCUCACCAUAACGCGCCUUCUCUCUUUUGUCCCCUAGCUCUCCCACUUUCUUUCGCCCGACUCUCUCUUCUUGUCUUGCUUUCUUUUUUUGGUUCCCGCCCAAACCCUUAAUGAAAGAUUAAUUGCUGUUUAGUAUUCCAAAGUCUAGCAUUAUCGGGCCCCAUCAUCGACCUAUCAAGUUCGUUAAACUCAGUCAUCAAUGGACUGACUAUUUUGUUGAACACGAGCUGCACCACCAUGGCAAGAAAAAGAAAAGUAAAAACUUAGGCAAGGGCUCAUUGAUUUCUAACACUUGAUCAUAAAAAUUUUUGAAAAGAAAUUUUAAUAUCACUGCUUUGAGGAUGGAUGCACUCUCAACAAGUGAACCCGAGUGAUCGAAUUCAAUAAUACGACAGAAUCAUCUCAAAGAUUUAAGUUUAAUAGUUAUUUUAUACGGCGAUUAUGAUAGGAACAUGAUAAUUUCGAGCGCCUGCAAUGUGAUGUCUUGAUGUAUCAUAGGAAUGUUAAUUAGAUAUGCAAACAGUAAAGAGGCAACGGCAUACCGGCAAUGACUUGGGUAGUAACAACGCAUCUAUGAGGCCUAUCCCUUAUUCGAUUUUUUUUUAUUUCUAUUUGUUUUUGUUCAUGUUUUUUUUCUCGAACCGCUCUAAUAUGAAUUAAAUAGUAGACAUCUUAAUAUAAAUUCAACAAUAGAAUUCUCCAUUUCAUUUUUGAAUUUGAAUGAGACUUUUUCUCUAAUUUUUUUACUAAUUCAUUUAGAUUACAUUUUAUAGUAUCACUAAAAUUUUAUUAUGUAAUUUAACUUAUUGUUAUAUCAUCCAUAUAAAAAUCAAAAUAUAAUCUAACUAAAUACAAUAAAUAAAAUCAAACAAAAUCGAAAUGCUCAUUAGAGCAUGGGAUAAUCAUAUUAUCGACAUUGUAGAAAACAGAAAUUCUAAUAAUUUUUAACUACUAACUAAAAUAUGUAAUGUGUUUGUAGGUAGUAUCUCAUUCUGUUUUCUUCUCACCCACUAGCUCUAUGCGCAAUUAUUGAGCCGUGACCAUGUGAAUGCUAGACUAAAGCCUCCCCUCAGCCGGGUUUUUUCCUGCUUUUUAUGUCCUUACCUUUUUCACUAAAUCUUUGCUGAAGAUAUGGUCCAUUAUGAGGAGGUGCUAGUUUUUUUCUAUGUUGUGUCCACUUCUGACCGGAGAGGACUUACUAUUCGGAGAGCGGGCUGCGUCCAAAACUUUCACAAGAAUUGCCAUUUAACUUCACCGCGGAAAAUUUAGGGUCAGGUCGUGUAGGGUUAGUUCAUAAAAAUUCACAAUCAGGGCCGCAAUGUUAAAUGUGAAAUAAUGCAAUGGAGAGAGAGAGAUUGUGGGAUUAUGAAUGUACUUUUAUUAGGGGUCAAAUUAUCGAUGAAUCUGAUCGUUAAAUUUCAUGAAAAUGGGAAUUGGACCUUUAAAUGAAAAUUUAUGUAUCGACAAUAAUUAAUCUUACAUAUUAGUAAGUAAUUGUUUCUCUUUAAAUCAUCCCUUAGUUGAUUUUUUUUUUCUUUUUGGUCUAAAGAUCUAGACUGCAUACAAAAUUGGUCUUGUGAAUUCAUUAGUACAGGUAAUAUUCUAAAUUUGAGUCAAGAUUUAUGCAAAGUAAAUAAGCAACACUACUCACGAAGAUUUUCCUAUUGAUUUCUAGAGGCAAAAAAGAGCAAUGCUAUGCAUAGGAGAACUGGACAUAUAUAUAUAUUAAGAUGGAUAGAAAAUGAUAAGGAAAAUAGUGCGGUAGCUCUCUUAAGAAAAUUUUGUUUUUAAUUUUUUAUUUUCCUUGGAAAGUCUAGAGAAUUUGGCAAUUAAGUAAACCAUAGUUUAACAUUCCAUAAUAAUUUUCCACCUCAUUCGGUGCACUAAUUUUUUGAUAUAUUUACAUAUUUAGCACCAUUUCGGGCAAGACAAAGAAAGAUAAGUAGGCUCAAAAGUUUAUCGGGUGCACGUUCGCAUGAGUUUCCUCGUGGUUAAAGCUGAAAUUGGCUCAAAGGCGAACGCGUGUUCUUGAGUAACACUGUCCCACUCCCUUUGAUGACGAUGACAUCAGAGACAAUUACCCGACACUAUUGAAAAGAGAGAGAGAGAGAGAGAGAGGGGGGGAAGAGGUCUUAUCGUGGCUUCCAAAAGAGGCCACUUGAAAUCUCUUAAAAAAAGUGAAAGUUAUGCGAGGUGGAGUGACAUCCAUAUAAAUAGACAAAUUGCUCAUUAUUUUGUUAAUAGAUUAUUGUCUAGAAAUGAAAAAGAAAAAAAAGAUGUAAAUAGUGAAGCAAUGAGGCAGCAAUAAAAUAGGAAACUUGUCAACCCCCCAUCCAUUAUAUUAAAUUAAAAUAUUAUUAAGUCCAUUGUCGGUCUAGAAAAUAAUUUGCACAUUCCCGAUUAAGAGUUGACACGUGGAAUAAUUGACUGGCAAAAACAACUUCAAACCCACACGUCACUUAUUCACGGUAAAUGUGUAUUGAGGUUUUAACAUCGACUAUGCUUCCAACAAUAUCCAUUCAAUUACUAGGUUUUUCGGCUAACAAUGUUUCUAUAUUUAGUUUAAUAUAUUCAAAUAAUAAGACCAAACAGAUAAUAUAUUCGAAUGUUCAAAAUUUUUACCCAUGGGGGUUAAUUAGGAAUGCCAACUAUUUAAUAAAACAUUGAAAAUAUUAUUAUUUCGUAGUAUCUAGAGAAUGAAAAUAAAUAAAAAAAGUCAAAGUCAUGCGAGGGUAGAGUAAAAGCAAUCAAAUCAUUAAAGAGAGAAAAAAUCAUUUUUAUUUAUUAAAGUAAUAGGUUAUAGUGUAGAAUGAAAACAAAAAAAAAAAUAUUCAAAACAAAAAGAAGAGUAAAAGCAUGCGACGACACCUAUCUAAUGUGCCAUUGCUCCAGGAGGCCUCCACGUAGCACCCGAGUUGUCUAUUCCACCGUCCAUCUCGCCGACACGACGGACGGGAAAAAAACCCACGCCGGACCCCCCCACCCCCGAAACGGCACAUGUUGGUGUCAGCGGGAGCGUCGGACCGGGCCCCGCCCCGGUUCACGAGGAUCGCCACCGAUGAUGUGGACAUGUCGAGAAGUGGGGCAGGGUCAAAGCAACGGACGGCUUGGAUUCAGCGGGGGCUUGGUCGUUCGGCUUGUCGUACGCCUUUUCAUGUGAUCACGUGAAUUGGGCGUACUACGGUGAGGGGGAACAAGGGGAGAGGGUGGGGCCCGUUGGGCCGGGGAAUGUAGUUAGGCCAUGAUGAUGGACGGCUGGAUGGACGGAUGAGUAUUUGGUUGAUGAAAAGGAGGAAGCGCCAUAAAUCGGUGAUUUCUCGGGGUCCUGAUUCCACGCAAUUGACAGUGUGAAUGUGAAAAUUGAUCCACAACGAACACAAUCAACGCCCCCUGACCCAGCAUCUAGUGGGGAGAAGGUUGUCAUUGAUGAUUAGGCCUUGUAAAUUGGUAUUUUCAUGGUUUGAAUAUAUUUGAUAAAUUUACCUAUACAAAAGUGCUACAAUAGCCGAAGGGGAGGCCAACCGUAGUCCAACCGUAGUCCAACAGAGAUCCAUAUUAGUUUGACGUGAUAUUGCUAUGGUUGUUAUAUUUGUUGUCCGACGAUGAUAUAACGUGAAAUUAUGUUUACGAUUACGCACUUCUGUAUUGAGCCGUGAUUUCCGUGCUUUUUCUGGCGGUAAAAUAUAACAUAUCUGAGACUUUCGACAGUGUAGUUGAUUAGAAUUCAAGACUUUGACCAAGUCCAAGUCUCUCCCUUUCUUCACCAAAACCGGUUCAUUCCCAUUUCCAACAGCAGGCGAAUGCCCUUGUUUCUGUAGGAAUUGGGUUACUGCCUUCAACCAGAGGAAGAGUCUUUGCUCGAUCCCUGGAUGCUGACUGGUGCUUCAGAUUCUCAAGAGCAGUUUCUUAGCUCUACUUCUUGAUGUGCAUCUUUGCCACUUGCAUGCAUCCGAAUCUUCUUUUUCAGUCCUAACUGGUAUGUUGCUUCGUCCUCAUUCCGUCUAUAAGAAUCAAAUAAAGACUCUCCAACUGAACAUCCUUAUUUAACUGGAUCAACAAGUAGAUCUGACGGAUUCUAUACGAAAUGAAGGGUUAAAUGACCUGAAUGGAGGUGGGUGGACGUAACUGCGAGAUGCAAUAAACUUCUCGGAGAGAGACCAAGAAACAGAGAGAGAGAAGGGGCGAGAAGAGAGGGGGGAAGAGCGACAACGGUGGAUUGCAGGCCGUCAAAAGGGUCGAGCUACGCCAUAACUCGCCAUUUCCGAAUACUAGAAAAGAUUUUUUUUAGCUCUAUUUCUCAUGAAUUUGGGUUUUUUGUUUUGAAAGUUCCUUUCCGGAUCUACUUUGGAUUUGCUUUGCCGGCAACGAUUCGGUCAAAAUCCAACGAUAUUCUGAUUCCUCACAUCUCCUUGUAAUUCUAGAAUUAAUUUUUUUCGAGUUGAUAUCCAAGUUGUCUUUGAGUUGAUCGUCUGGGUCUGUUUAAUAUUAAUUUGCAGUUUGGCCUUCCCGCUUGAAUACUCGUGGAUGUUAUUACUUGCUUGAGAAUAAUGCUAUGCGCGCUAGGAAAAUAUAAACAAGAUUGGUACUUCAUAUAAAUGGGUGCGCUCUCUUUGCCCACAGGUUGAUAAUCAAGACGACACAUGCCACGAGUUGAAGAUACAGCCUGGGAAAUUCGUGAUUAGACUGGAGGCAAGAAAUGGCGUUGUCCUUACUGCAGAUGAUACUCUGGAUCAGUGCACAAGAGUGAAAAGUCACUUUCUUAAACAACCAAAAGAAGGGAUUGCCUCUUGCGCAAAAGUGCCGGAUCACAUCAGCACACUAAUGGGAUUGAUACACAAUCAGGUGGCUUUAGUACUUGUGGUAGCUACAUUAUCUGCUCGAGAAUGAUGCUAUUCACUCUAAGAAGAUAUAAAAAAAUUGGAGACAAUAUAUAAUGGGGUGCACUCUUUUUGCUUGCAGGUUCGUAACAAAGAGGAUGUAGCCUGGAAAUUCGUCGAGAGACUGGGGGAUAACAAGUGGCGUUGUCAUCACUGCACGGAAGAAUUCUCUGGAGACCUUACAGGUGUAAAAGGUCACUUGCUUACAGUCCCAAAUGAAGGGAUUUCCGUUUGCACAGGAGUGCCGGACCACAUAAGAACGCUAAUGCGGUCGUUACUUGAUGCGGUGGCUGAAGAAGAGAGCAGAGGAGCCAACAGUCAAUCCUCCAUGGAGCCACAAUCACGUCACAUGCCGACUCAACUGUCGCCUUCAUUUUCACCAGAAAGCCUCGAAUUCUUGAGACCGUUAUUACCAACACCACGGAGGGCGACCAAAAUGGCAAACUUCACCCAACAGGAUGUCAUUGGGUCAAACUCUGACCAACAAUCACAAGCGGAGCGUCAGCUUCGUCAGAGUUCAGCAAUGCCAUUAUUGGUGCAAAGUAGUCAUGGUAUGUCCACGUGAAGUUUCUUUACAUUCAUCUAGGCGUGAAGAAAAAAAAUCUAUUACAUUUUUUAUAUAAUUAACUCUAUCUAAAAUGACUCAAACUUAUCUAUUUCCACAUCGCAUCAAUUCUAAAUUACAGAGGUAUCAUUGCAUUUUCUAUAUGUCCGAUAUCACUAUAUUUUUACAGCACAGUUUAUUUCAUUUAAAUAUUUAACUUACGAGCAUGCUGAUUUUCGUUGUAGAAAUCUCUCUCUGUGAUCAAGUUCUAGAUGUUUGUUUUAUCUGUACCCAUGACUUGAUUUGAAAGUCCCAGUGUUGACUGAUCUUACGCUUGAAUAUUUUAGUGCAACCAGCUUUGGUGUCCCCUCAACAUCAAAGUGUUCUGCGUCAAUCUAUUAAUCAUGAGAUGAGGGAUACACAGCAGAAUCCAACCAUUCCUCUGGAUAAUCUAGAUACCACCCGGCAACCUGAUCUUCGUGACUCUCCACCAGAGAAUCUUGUUGAAUCUCGUGAUGUAAUUGUAAACGCUCUUGACGAAAUGCAAACGAAUGAACAGCAUAAUCCAACAGUGGGAUCAUCAUUACAAAAUGAUUUAUCCCUUGAUGUGGACCAUACAAAUCGUUUACUGGAUUGGAGUCAACCGUGUGCAGUGGAAGGCGUUCCUCUAUUCAGCAAUACAAGUCCGACCAACGCUGUUGAGCAUCCCGAUCAGCUUUACCCUAGGUGUGAUGAGGAAGAUGGAAAUGAUACCCGUUUGUUCCCCUCGCAAACUCCAAUGGACAUAGAUCCCUCAAUUGCCUCACCGCAUUCAAGUGACUCUCAUGAUAAUUUGCAAGUUCUAGAAGCAGCAACAAAUGCAAUAGCCCCAUCAUCAUCACAAGGUAUGUCUGGAUUAAUCUAAAUUGUUCCUCUUGUUCUGUUGGAUUCUUAAAUAUCCCAGAUUAAUUUAUCGAAAUCUAACAUAUGUUUUUAUACAUUAGAUUUGAACAGGGGUUAUCCAAUCAUGACCGCAUGGAGCAUCAAUGCCAAUGAUGAAGAGAUAAGAAAGCUCAAAAGAAAAGUGGAAGAACUUGACGACAAAGAAGCUGACGUAAAGGAGCAGAUGGAGAUAGAGUCUUCUUCCUCAGUUCGGAAGAAGCCGAGGAAAACAGUUGAGAAAUGGCUGGAAAAAACAGAAAGAGCAAGAAAUAAUUUCCAAAUAAUUGGCCAAGCCAAUGGGGAAACUUUGCCUCCGAAGGAACAGGUGGUGACAUUGACGAGAGAAGUGGAAGAGCUCAUAAAACAAGCGCUUCCACAAACACUACUCAUAGAGGAGAGAGAUGCCAAAGGAGUCAAAUUUUUGGAACGAAAGCUAAUAGGUGAAGCGAUUCAUGGGAACAUCGAGUUUAUUUGGGGCCAUCUGAAGAAGAAUCGUGCAUGCAAAUUGGGUAUUUAUGGAAUGGGUGGUGUGGGGAAGACAACUAUCAUGAAGCGAGUACAUGAUAGACUUCUAGAAGAUGCAACCUUUGAUGGUGUGGUUUUUGUCACCGUGUCCAAAGAUUUCAGCAUUUCUAAGUUGCAAAUUGAUAUCAGGAAGGAGCUAAAAUUUGACGUUAAGGAGGUUGAGGAUGAGGAGAAACGAGCAGCAAUGUUGGCGGAGCAUUUAGAAAGAAGGAAGAAUUGUGUAUUGAUUCUUGAUGAUGUGUGGGAACACCCACUUCUUGACCUUAAAGAGGUGGGAAUCCCUGAUAGUGCAGAUGGAUUUAAGUUGGUCUUAACCACUAGAUCCUUUAAUGUGUGCUGCCAGAUGCGAUGCCAAGAGAAGAUAAAAAUUGAGCCUCUAUCUCAAGAAGUAGCCGAGAGAUUGUUUCUGGUGGAGCUUGGAUCCAAAGGGCCACCUAAUUUGGAAAUUGCGAAGUCCAUUGUUAAAGAAUGCGUAGGCUUGCCAAUUGGAGUAAUCACGAUGGCAAGAAGCAUGCUAGGAGCGACUGAUGUGUUUGAAUGGAGGGAUGCCUUGGAGAGAUUGAAAGAAUCGAGUAUUGGGCUAAAAGAUAUGGAGAACAAGGUGUUAAUGAUUCUGAAAUUCAGUUAUGAUCGCCUUGGUGAUCCCGAUGUCCAACAGUGUUUCUUAUCUUGUGCACUUUAUCCAGAAGACGAAUUGAUUUAUAAGUUCGAGAUGGUAGAAUUCUUUAUCGACCAAGGAUUAAUUGAUGGAUUGAAUACAAGGAAGAAACAAUACGAUAGAGGCCUCACCAUAUUGAACAAACUGAUAAAAGUUUGCCUAUUGGAAGAUGAUGGGGACUAUAUGAAGAUGCACGAUUUGAUUAGAGACAUGGCAUUGCAAAUCAUGAGUGCGACUUCAAUUGUAAAAGCAAGAAAGGGAUUGAAGAGGAUUCCACUUGAGGAAUAUUGGACGGAUGCUUUGGAGAAAGUGUCUCUAAUGAAAAAUAACAUUAGCGAAUUUCCGUUGAACUUGUCACCAAAUUGCCCCAAGCUAUCAACUCUUCUAUUGGAUUAUGGCUUGCAUGAUGUGGUCAUACCUGAUUCUUUCUUCAAAAAUUUAUGUGGGCUAAAGGUUCUAAAUCUAAGUAGAAUUGAUAUGACAGAACUUCCAAAUUCCAUCUCAGACUUGGUAAACUUGAGGGCACUAUUGCUUGGAGAUUGUAUGGAAUUGCGCCGUAUUCCUUAUCUAGGGAAGCUCACAUCUUUAAGAAAGUUGGACGCUAAAAACUGUAGGAGUCUUGAAGCGCUCGAGGGUUUGGAAAAGUUGGUGAACUUGAGAUACCUUGACCUUAUUAAAACACGUAUUGAGAGAUUGCCCAAAGGAACGUUGGACCAUUUAUUAAACUUGCAAUAUCUUAAAUUUCCGGCGGUAAAUGAAGAAGACAUUACAAAAUUGGGGGCAUUGGAGACAUUUGAAUGCUACCUUAAAAAUGUGGAUGAUUUUGACAAGUGUGUGAAGGCUAUUGAGCAGAGUAAUAACACUCGCUAUUACAACCUCAUCGUGGAUCUAGGAAAACCAGAGUUUUUUGUGCAAGUAAGUGAUGAUACUCGAUGUGGGAGUUUUGAGAAUUUGGGGAGGAGAGUCAUCAAUAGGGACUGGGGUCAUGCCAUUGUGAGUGUGGGAGGCGAAUGCACCGGCAUUUUUAUUUUGAUUCCCCGAGACGUGCAGGCAAUGAUGAUGAAAAAAUGCAACGGUACAACAAAUUUGUCUAGCAUAGGUCUGCUUAAAUACCUCGAAGAGCUAGAAAUAGAAAGAUGGGAAAACAUAGGGGUGCUAUGUGGAGAACGAGACGAAGAAGUAAUUAACAUCCACGACUCCCUCGCCCGAACCCCUAUGUCUCUCCUCUUCCCGAGCCUUAGGGUUUUGAAAAUAUGGAAAUGUCCGAAGCUGAAGUAUCUCUUUGGGCAUGGGUCUAAAUCCAACCUUCCGCAUCUACGAAAGAUUGAAAUAAAUGAAUGUGAGGAAAUGGUGGGGAUAAUAGCAGCAGUUACAUCCCCACCACCACAUCUGCUCCCAUUUUUCCCUAGUCUGGAAUCGAUUAAUGUUGAAUCCUGUGGUAAAAUGAAGAGAGCGGUGGAAUCUGAGUGGAUGCCCCACUUCCCUAAUCUGAGAUGGAUCGAAGUAACCGGAUGUGAGACGAUGGAUGAGAUAAUUAGAGGUCCUCCACCAUACUUGCUAGUUGAAGGGAUUCCUCUCCAAUCUCUUAUGGUAAAAUGUUGCGAUAACAUGAGAAAGUUGUUUCCGCAUGAAUGGCUGCUCCAUCUUCGAAAUCUGCAAGGUAUCGAUGUCUGUAACUGCGAAGGAAUGGUGGAGUUGAUAAGUGGAGCAGGACAACGCCAAGAAGGAAGUAUAAUGACUCCUGUAAACAACACCCCUUCAUCCUUCCAGCCUUCAAUUUCUCUCCCAAAGCUGGAUUUGUUGUGCUAUACGAUCUACCCCAGCUGAAGAGCAUAUGCGAAGUACCAAUAAGGUGCGAUUCCAUGAAAGAAUUGACGGUGUCCAGAUGCUCAGACCUGAAGGGGAUUCCUUUGCAACUGCGAUUGCGUGAUAUUGAGGAGCUUCCGUUUUUUUUUUGGUGGAAGAUGAGGAAAGGUGGAAGACGUUGAUGUGGGAUCAUCCCGAUGCUCAAGCUAUUCUUCAACCUUAUCUCAGAAAAGGGGAAGAUGCUAUAGGUUAAUGAGUUUAAUUGAUAUACGAUUGCUUCACUUCUUAAAAGUCCUUACAAAGAUGUAGCUUUUCUGUCUAUAUAGUCAUGCAGCUCUCUAACAGUGGCCUUUUGCAGAAUUGGAGGCCAAGGGAAAGUAUCUCCAGUGACUCUGCUCUUGAAGAAAGCCCUGUUGCUCAAUCAUGCUUUCCUGCAAAAUCGACUCGAGUUACCAUAUGAAUUGACUUUUUUCGUGUGGUCAUGCUUUGUGUAAUUUGAACGCGCUUGCAUGUUUUAUUGACUACUGGAAAUGAGUCAAUUUGGUCGAUAUUUCAGUUUAGUCAAAAAAACAACAGAUCUAAGGAUUUGGGAAGCCAGGGGACUAGUAGAGUUUGUUUCCUAUCUUAUCUUAUAACUGAAAGGACAAUUUAUUCAUACAUGCUCAGGUUGAGGAUCAGCUUUACGUAUAUCUAGAAUAUGCACAUCAUUAUUGUCUUGUCAGGCGGUAGGGGAAAGUCUUUCCCCCAUUUGGUUUUGCUCCCAAGUGAUGCUGCAAGUUUACCGUAUUUUCCCCUUAUGGUUGUUUGUAAUUUCGUGGAAUGUUUUUAGAAUAAUUUUGCAUCUCCUCUCUAUAAAAUGCAAAUAACCGAUGAAAUAUGUUGAAAAUAUCUCAUACUGAUUGUUUACAAGGUUUUAAUGGGCCUUACAUUUAUAUAAUUUACCUUCGCUUGUUCAAAUUUUUAGGUCGAACUUUCUCUUAUGUGCAAAUAGCAAUUUCUACAUGAAAUGAAGAGUAAACAUGCUUCCCUUUUUUUUUCUACGAUUAAAGUGAUUAUUCUAAGAAAUAUAUAAAGUGUGACAGAAAAAGCAACUCCUUGAAAUUUUGUAAAGUCGGAGGCGCAGCUCAGAAUGAGCUAUGACUCUCGGCUGCAUUGGAUUCUCUCUUCAUUUUCGUUUUCUUUUGUUCUUUUCCUCAUUUUUUAGCCAACAUCCUAACCAUAAGGCGCCUUUUCUCUUUUCUCUCUUAUCUCCCCCCUCCCCCAUUUCUUCGUACAACUCGCUCUUCUUUUCCUGCCUCUUUUUUUUUUUUUUUUUGGGGGGUUCUCUGCCCAAACCCUUAACGAAGACAACUAAUUGGUAUUUAGUUUUCCAAAGUGUAGCAUUAUUGAGCACCAUCACCGACCAUUAAGUUCGCUAAACUCAGUCAUCAAUUAAGUAACUAUUCUUGUUUAACAAGAGCUGCACCGACGUGGCAAGAAAAAGACAAACAAAAACUCAGGUAAGAGCUCAUUGAUUUUCAAGACUCCAUCGUAAAAAUCGAAGAAAAGAAACUAUGAAUAUGUGCUGGAUUUUUCUCUGCCGCUGUGUCCUUUUUGAACCACUUUUGAUCCAGAACUCUAUCAUUUUCAGCUCUCCCUUUCUGUUCCUUUUGGUGUUUUCACGCUGCUAAUUUCCUUCGCUCACGCGCACACACACACAUGAAGGAAUGUCAUGUUGAAAGUGGCCUCCUUUCGGCCAACCAGAGGGAGGGAACGGAAGGGACUUUUACUUCGGAGAGGGGGCCGCGUCCAAAAUUCUCAUAAGAAUUCCCGUUUAAAUUCACCAAAGGAAAUUCAAGAGUCGGAUUAUGUAACAGAUUUUUUUUUUUUUUUUGGCAGUCCUACGCUAUUCCUACUCUACACUCACUCGCAGACUUGUGCCCUGCCUCUUGCAGGGCGUGGGAGUCGCAACCCAAGCUCGAAACUUACGCGUCCCUAUCCCCCAUCCCCCCUGAGGAGGUGGGGAUUUGAACCCCUCACCUCCCCCUUCCAUGUUGAAAGGGUGGCCACUGGGAUUGUGUAACAGAUUGGUUCACAAGAAUUGCGCUCUUAUUAGAAAGGGUAGUGCAUAGAAGAUGUGAGAUUACAAAUGAUUUAUAUGGGUCAAUGGUCAAAUUAUCGGUGUNNNNNNNNNNNNNNNNNNNNNNNNNNNNNNNNNNNNNNNNNNNNNNNNNNNNNNNNNNNNNNNNNNNNNNNNNNNNNNNNNNNNNNNNNNNNNNNNNNNNNNNNNNNNNNNNNNNNNNNNNNNNNNNNNNNNNNNNNNNNNNNNNNNNNNNNNNNNNNNNNNNNNNNNNNNNNNNNNNNNNNNNNNNNNNNNNNNNNNNNNNNNNNNNNNNNNNNNNNNNNNNNNNNNNNNNNNNNNNNNNNNNNNNNNNNNNNNAUAGGAUUUAGCGAAUUGACAAUGCAAAAAUUGAGAGAGAAUAUGAAGUGAUUCUGUGCACUUUUGAAACUCUGUUAGUGUACAUUCUUGUAGUUUUUCCUUGUCAAAAUAUAUUGAUUUUCAACUUUCACUAAAAUGUCGCACAUUCAAUUAGGAAGCAUAUGAUUAAUAGUCCUAAUCAGCCAAGUCACAAAACAAAUCAUAAGAGAUCUAAUGCGGUUGUCACUAAGCCUCGAAUUGGUGGGAUGAUCUUUCCCAUGGCAAGAGCGGCUAACAUCACAAACUUCAUCUUCUAGGGAUUAAGUUAAAAUAUUAUGUUUGGCACUUACGGUGUUCUUAUACUUCAUAAUAAAUAUGUUAUUUAUUUUAUCAGUUAAUCUACCCUGAACAACAUGCUAAUAUUAGUUUAGAUAAUUUGUCAAUUUGGCUAUAGCUUGGAAUAAGAGACGAUAACAAUAUAAAUUCAAUAUUGAAAACUUUUUGUUUGAUUUUUUUUUCUCGCUUUUUAGUUAUUCUUUUAGCAAUUACCGAAUAACAUCAUUCAAACCUUGUAAUGCCGCAUCUAUUUAUUUAUUUAUUUAUUUCAAUUAGUUUACGGCUAAAAUGGGCGAAUCAACAUACAUGAUUUCACCACAAAAUAAAUGGACUUUUUUUGAAAAAAAAAUUAAAAAAAGAGAUAGAAUAAUGGCUCAUAUUAGAACCAUUUACCAAGUAAUGCAAAUUAAAACCAAGUCUUAAUUUUUUUUUAUGUGUAUUAAAAAUUUCCAAUAUCAUAUCAUUUCAUUUUACACAUAAAAUGAAUAGAAUAAACAUUAAAACCCUUUGUCCAUCGUAAGAUAGAAAGUAAACAUCAAAUUUAGAUAAUCUUACUUUAAAUACUUAUGUAGCAAGAACAUACAUAAAAAAUAGAACAUAAUGCAAGAACUAAACAGUAAUAUAACGAUUGAUUUAUAUAAAGUGUCAAUAUAACAUUAUGCAAAAAUUUUAUACAUGUAAUAUGGGUUCAUAUCAAUAAAUGGAAUUUGAAGAAGUAAAUUUCUGAAUUUGUGCAACCCACGGGUCUUUGUUUACUACACAUUCCACAAAAAAUAUGCAGUCAUAAGCUACAAUCUGAUGGAAUCAUCUACCAAUAUACAAAGUUCUAUUCACAUCAUAGGAAAUGUUUUCUAGCAAUCUGAUGGCCUCGAAUAUUUUGGGGGCAAAGAUGGACACAUUUCAUUCAUAUGAGGGUACGAGUCCAUUGUGUUGUACCUUGGCAGCUCCAUUCGAUACCUACCUCGUAUUUGACAGAAUGGAAUGGAAGCUCAAUGUCAUCCCCAUAAUUGAACCACUUAGGCAAGUGGCUUGAAUUAUUCUCGAAGAACCUUAGUGAGUAAUCUUUUAUCUGCAUAAAAAACAAUGCCAUUCACAAAAUGCCAAAUGGGAUUCCUCAUGACAAAAGUUCACGCUUCGAAAGGCAAACUAGAUUAUAGUUUUCUCAAUCUUUGAAAAAAGUGACAUCCAUCUCUAGAUAGUAAGUUCAAGCAACUAGGGUCAGAAAGAUAACCCAACUAGGGUCAAUCAAUCGCACUUACAGUGAACUUUGUAACUCGAAUGGAGCUAGAAAUUAGAUCAAAGAGACCUGCUGCUUUGUAUAUUUCAAGAACAAAAGCUACACAUGAGGCAGACUUCCCAUCACUGUAUACCCAAUCAUCUUGCUCUGGAAUUGUCAGCAGUUCAGCAAAAGAUGGCCCCCUCAUUUCCCUUUCGACUAUUAGAUCAGGAAGAUCCAAGCCCUAUAUGCAACACAAUUGUAAGGUCGCCAUAAAGUAAAUUGCAAUUUGAAUGGGAUGGUACCUCUGUUCCUAGUUGCUUGUUGAGUGCUUCAUUCCGCAUGUUCGCAGCAUAGGCUGGUUGCAUUUGGUUCCAUACUGUCAUAACAGAAGCAACCUACAAUAAUACAAUGCUCUCUAUAAAAUGAGUGAACCACACUCCGAUCAUGCGAAGAAAGCACCCGACAUGGCGAGCAUAUUACAUGCAUCAUCAGCCGGGCCGAUAAAAACUCUUAAGAAAAGAUGAACAAAGUCCACUAUUUUGCUGCCUUAGUAUCAUAUAGGAGGCCAUAAAAAAUGAAUAUUUGUCAAACCAAGUCAGAUUCUUUUCCACAAUAUUAGCACUCAAUAGAGUCACAUGCUAAUCUGCUAUUUGGGGAGAUCACUGUUCAGUUUUUAGCCUUUUGCUUUGCUCAGUUGAAUCCAUUCGAAAUCAUGGUAUGACUGUCUAAUUCCAGCAAGACCAUGCUGUUAGGAUCUGACACAUGGCAUCAUUAUAUUUCAAGGUUUAUCAAAGUAAGGGUAAAUUGAUGUUUUGUAGUUAGGUUGAGAAGCAGAAACUAUUUCAUAUCCAGCAUCAAAGAAUCUCAAGUCACCUACAACACAAGCCCUUAGUGUUAGAAAAUUGUCUAAGACAAACCGAAUGCACCCACAAAAUAUUUAUAAACACAUAUGCACAUGUACAAUCUCU
rnacentral:lncRNA from 1 species